rnacentral:lncRNA from 1 species
AAUUUACCUGUAAUGACAUGUAAGAUUUAAUUCUGAAAUAAUGGAGAUGAAGAUCAUAUAAUCCUUUUAUAACAAUAAUGUUCAUCCUUGCAUAAAUAUUUAUAUUCCUUAUAAUGUUUUCAUUCUUUUGCAUUCCCAGGAUAAUUUUGUCUUCGUGGACUCUCCUUUGUUGAAAUAUCAAUUAGGCUCAAGGCAGAGACAGUCCCGGACUUAUGUUAUAUCCUUCAAAGUGAUAUUCCCUGCUCAAACACCUGACGUAGAAUAUACUUGAGCUAGGUUCAGAAAACCUGUGAAAAAUCCAUAUUUUCCCUUGUUAUUCAGUAACAAUAUUGCAGUUUGGGUCCAGUCCUUGUAAUUUUUUCAUUGAAACGCUGAAAUUCGACCUUGAGAGCAUUGGAGGAAUCCAUCACGGCCGUAAAAAUUGGACAAACCACCACUCAAAUACCCAUUCAGCUCAUCGUCACCCAAAAAUUGUUUUCGCCACAUAGGCCACUGCCAGUCACAUCUAUGAUCUAUCCACUUAUGUCCAUAGAUCAUGAUUUGCAUCCUCCUUGUCUUUUGUACUAAAUCCCUUCAUGAAUGACCAUGGCUGCAUCGUGCACACUGACUUGAAAGAACAUAAGUGCCCAUCUGAAACUCUAUUCAGCAACGAUUGCGUAGUACUGCAUGCGCUUGUGCUUAGACCGUUACUUGCCCAACAUCAGACAUCCCAACCAAACACUGUAUAACUGGUCGUGAUUCAUGCUGGAAAACCUAUCAUUGGAUAAAGUUGGGUUGUAUCUAUGAUUGGAUGGUCUUUUGUAUUGAGAAAAAACUAGGGAUGUACCCUUAAUUAUUCAAAACAUAGGAACAAGAGUAAAUUUUUUAAAGAACUAUUCCAGAAACAAAUGAAAUGAUCGCUUUUAUCACUUUUGUUAUCAGCAGAUCCCCAGACAGACUGACUACUCUUCUUUUAUCAAAUAAAUUAAAUUAAUAUUAUUUCAUUUGUUGGGGAUCUGCUGGUAACAAAAGUGAUAAAAGAGAUCAUUUCAUUUGUUUCUGGAAUAGUUCUUUAAAAAAUUUACUCUUGUUAUGUUCCUAUGUUUUGAAUAAUUAAGGGUAGUCUUGCUUGGGCUGGUUUAAUGGUAGUUUUUACAUUUUUCCUUUCCCUUGUAGUAUGAGUAAGAAGUGGACUCUAAAAGGACUACUAAUUGAGUUAAGUGAUCAAAAUGUCUCAAUUAUUUUAUUUUAUAGCUAAGUUCUUCCAUUUUUUAACUAUUGAAUUUUGUUAUUUUAUUAAUAUAACUAAAUACUAAUUAAUGAAAUGCAAUUCGAUACUUCAUUUCGAAACUCUAUUGUAUUCCAAUGGUGGAAUAUAAUAUUGAAAAAAAUAAUACUCUUUAAAUCAAACAAAUAUUUGAAUUGUUCCCAUCUUAUUGUUCCGGGAAUACAGAUAAUUGGAAACGGAUUACUACUCCAAACUUAAUUCUUUUUAAGAUUUAUAUUUCGAUGAACUGGUUACCACCAAUCUUUUCUAAAUAUGAAAAACUUUUUCAUCGAAUCCCCCGAUCAGUUGUCAAUUAUUUAAUCAAUUUAAUCAAUUCAUUUUUUUGGAAUACUAAAAAUAAAAAGAUUAUUUUUUUUUUUUUUUAUCGGGAUUAUGAAAAGAAUGUGAAAUCUAAAAAUUCAAAUAAAAAGAAUAAAAAUGUAUUUUUGAUUAUUUCAGAUUGAUUGGAACCAAUACAAAUAUAAUAGAUUAGAUCAAACAAAGAAAAAAUGUGGACACUAUGGAAUUGACAUUGACAUUCCAUAGAUAUCUAUAGAUAUACCCAUAUGAAAAGAAAUAUUUAAAUUGGUCCAUCCAUAUUACAUUAAACUUCUUUUUUUUUAAGUAAAACAUUCCAUUUUUACCAUACCAUAAAAAAUAAUAUACCAUAAUAAAUAGUAUAGUAGAAAGAAAUAGAUUUGAUUUCUUUCUACUAUACUAUAUGGAUUUCAUAGAAUUCUGCCGAUUGUAGUCUGAUCAUUUUAUUUAAAAGAAAGACCCGAAAUGAAAACCCUUUUUUCUUUAUUCAAUCAUUGUCAUCGCAUUGAUAAGAAAUCAGAAGUCAUGUUUAAUUAAAAUUAGUAACUUUGACUUACCGUUUUUACGUAAAUUAUAAGUAAAAAGGCAAUAGGAACUAGAAUGAAGAGUGCAGUAGCUAUAAAUGCGAGAAUAUUGACUUCCAUAAUCACUAUGUUUUCUUUCUCUUUUAUUUCUAAUAAAUACUUCGGGAUUUAAUCCCAUAGAAAUGAAAAAUCUUUCGUCAGUAAAUUCAGUGGUAUAAAUUUUAUCUCAAUGAUAUAAAAUCGAAUCAAUAUCACGAAUAACAAUAUCUGAGCUAUCAAAUCAAUUCAUCGUCGAGAAUUAAAUAGUAUAACAUAGGAAGAUCUUUUAUCCAUACCAACAAAAAAAAAAAAUUACUUUCUGAUGCAAUGAAAAAUUCCUUUUUCUUUCUUCGUCCGAACCUUUACCUUAAACUAAAAAAGAAAAAAGGAAUCCAUGUUAGAAAUGAGAUUUUUUUUCUUUUUUAUUCCCUUUCAAUUCACAUACGAAAUCAAUUGAUAUUUUUUGGAUUUGUAUCCAUAGGAACUAACAGGACUCGAACCCGCAGCUUCCACCUUGACAGGGCGGUGCUCUGACCAAUUGAACUACAAUCCCAGGGAAAAAGUUGUAUAGCAUACAUAUUCUUACUAUUUCAUUCAAACCCUUUGUUUUUCUAUUUUAGAUUCGAACCCCUGUACUGUAACUGAAAGAGGCAGACUUAUAUAUUGAUAUUUUUAUGGGUCUGCACUUUAAGCGAGAUCGACACGGAUUAUUCGCAAUCCGUUCCUUAUUGCUAACUUGAUUGAAAAAUCAAUGAAUCAAGGAAACAAAAAAGACUCUUUUUUUACUUGAAUGCUUUCCUAAGACUUUAUAUUUUAAAAUCCCGAUAGGAAUUUUUCAAAAUUCGAAUUUGUGGAAAAAAUAAAUAGCACUCGAGAUUUUAUUCUUCUGUAUAGGAGUCCAUUGAUGAUUUUCAGAGAACACCAAAUGGGUUAUAUCAUUGCAUGGUGUAUCAGUAAAUUUUUGGGCCGAGCUGGAUUUGAACCAGCGUAGACAUAUUGCCAACGAAUUUACAGUCCGUCCCCAUUAACCGCUCGGGCAUCGACCCAGGAAGAAUCAAUUUUAGUCUUUAUUGAUAAUCCUUGAUCAAUUUCCUUUUGUAGUACCCUACCCCUAGGGGAAGUCGAAUCCCCGUUGCCUCCUUGAAAGAGAGAUGUCGUAAACCACUAGACGAUGGGGGCAUACUUGCUUGACCUCCAUUCUACUAUGUUUGUACAUAGUAUGAACAAUUUUUUGAAAUUGUCAAUAUAAUGAUAUGAUUAGAUCAGAAGGAUCUUUCAGAAUUCCUUAAAAUUUAGAUUUCGAAAUUGUUCAUUCCAAUCACCACUCUAUAAAACUAUAAAAAAAUAAUAAUCUAUCUUAAAAAAAUAAUGUGAAAGAAAACAAAAGAAAGAGAGAAUCUUUUCAGGGAAUGAUUGAUUUUAUGGAACAGGCGCGGCAUUAACACCUCAUUUCUUUCACUUUCAUUCAGUGUUAAGAAGAUUGAAUUAGUGGGUACAUGUAUCAAUGAAAUGAAUUUUGUGUUAUGAUGAAGAUGAUUUCAAUUCGAAUCAGUUUUGAAAAAAUCCAUUCCAUUGAUAUUUUUCAAAUCCAAAUUCAAAAAAUCCUUUUUUUAACUAUACUUACUAGGUAAAUCCAAUUUAUUGUUCGUUAAAAAGUUGCUAUGUAAAAAAAAAAGAUCUAUUCUAUAUAUAUAAUUUAUAUAUAAUUUGAGUAUAUGCAGUAACAAAUAGAUGUACUAAACUCAUAUCCAUAUUGGAUGGUUCCUUAUUCGGGAAUUGACUCAAAUGGAGCCCCUUUAACUCAGUGGUAGAGUAACGCCAUGGUAAGGCGUAAGUCAUCGGUUCAAAUCCGAUAAGGGGCUUUUUUGUCAAAAAAUGACAACAGUAGUAUUCCGAUUUGAAGGAAGAAUAGAGAUAUUCUUGAUAUUUGUAAGAAGUUUCUCUUUGUAAAAAAAACUAAGGAAUAGUUGAAUUUCAUUAAAAAAUCGAGUUUUUAUUCUAUUAAAUUAUUGUUAUCAUUCGAAUGAAUUCGAAUAGAGUAAACUCAUUCUAGUUAGAAAGUGAAAGAGUAUUCUUUUCUAUAUAUAUUAGACUGUGAUAUUUCCUUUAAUUAUAAGAUAUUCCUAUCCUAUUUUCUAUUAUUCCAAUCAAAAAAUGGGAAAGAUUCUAAAAAAAAGUAAGUGGACCUAACCUAUUGAAUCAUAACUAUAUCCACUAUUCUGAUAUUCAAAUUGGAUAGAAAUGAAAUUCGAACAGUGGAUCUUUUUUGUUUUUAAUAUCUCUUUAGUUCGGACUCCGCAAGAAUCUGUCAAUAUUUCGGAUUAAAUCUUAUUGUUCCUAGGAAUAAAUUGAUACUCCUCUUCUCCACGCAGAAGGGUUUAUUCUAAGUUCCAACAUAUAAGUCAUUUUACUUUAAAAAUAUCUUUAUUUCCGAAUACAAGAAAAGAUCAAAUUAAAUUUCUAUUAUUUCUUUAAGAUAUAAGAUAUCUAUAAAAAAAAUAGAAAAAUCCAUCAAAUCAUGACUUCGAGUAUCAAAUAUUUAAUUUUCAUAUCUAUGCAUACUAAAUUUUUAAAGCAAUUAAUGGACGAAACUUUCACUUAGAAUCUAUUAUUUUUAAUAAAACUCCAUACAAUAUUAAAAAAUCUGAUAGAUAGAUAAAAUAGAUAGAUAAAAAAAUAUUCGAAUUUCUUACCUCGAUCUGCAAAAAAGGUAUACUUUGUAAUUUUUUUAAUCUGAACGAAAGAAAAAUACAACUAAAGAGGACAAUAAAAGAAAUUAAAGUAAAAUAGAAAGUAAAAAUAGGAUUCUAUAGUAGUUUCCUAGAAAUACAAAUUAGAAGAAUAUAUAAAACUUUUUUUUUUAUUUCACGAAUAAGAUUCAAGAAUAAUAUUAUUUAAUAUUAUUUGAUAAAAGAAGAGUAGUCUGUCUGGGGAUCUGCUGGUAACAAAAGUGAUAAAAACGAUCAUUUCAUUUUGUAUUGGAUGGUCUUUUGUAUUGGAUAAAGUUUAUGCAAACAGUUUUUUAACCGUUGCGGAGCCAAAUUGACCGGGAGGAGGGAUUUGCGAUGAUAAGACACUCACAUACCAUCCAGCAAAACAGACAGUAAACAUGUACAACACCUAAUAUCAAUAUAAAAAAGAGGACAUUCUUCUAUAUUAAAAGGAAAAAUCUACUUAUUCUUUCAUUAAUAAUAUCAAUAUACAAAGGCUACAAUUUACAAAUUAAUUAAUGACUAACUAUCAUUAAUGAAUAGCUAUCGUAUAGAUUGAGCUAUAAAUUCUUCUUAAAUAUAUGUAACGAUCCAAAAAAAAUGUCCUUAGGAUUCUUGUUUCUCUCCUUAGUAUUAAACCAAGCAAGAUGUGGGACGUCUUUAACGAAAACCUCACAUGUUUUUGCGAUUAGCAAUUCAGAUUCAACACUAACUAUCUGCAUACCAAAUAUUUCAACAUCAAUAUGGUUUAAUUAAAAGUACUAAUAUAAUACUCAAUUAGCUUAUACUCAUUCACAUGUGAUAAUUACAAUUCAAACAUAUAUCUACAAAGUGAAAUUAAAAUUAGCAAAAAGAUCAUGUGAUGUUAGUUGUUACCUGAAAUUUCUCUUGUUGAUUUUUGGCAUCAUCUGUUGCUGAUCACUGCAUUCACGUUUCACAUUCUCCCCCUGUUGUGAUCUGACACUCUUCUUGGGACGUUCUUUCUUUCUCAGUUCUUUCUUUCUCACACCUUCGCCUGUUUCAGAUGCGCGGCAACACAAAUAGAAAUAAAGCCUCUAGGUGUUUCAUCAUCAGGAGUAGCUAUGGUUUCUUGAUCAUUAUGAAUGGAUUCCUCCCCUGUGACUGCGACUGUGUUGUUGUUCUUGUCCAACAUAAUAUACUAAUUUGGUAUUUCGUCGAUUUGAUUUGGCGAUAAAGAAAUAGUUUUGUUGAUGGAGGUCUAUGAAAAGGGAAGAAGAAAGGUAUGUGAAGGCCAUAUAAACCCUCAAACACAAUAAAAUGAACAUGUAACAUGACGACUGCAUAUGAGAAGUACAAUCCUGAGCAAUAUAUUUAUAGACUCAUGAAAUGGUUUAAAGAUUAAUAAUGUAAUUAAUUGAACUAUUUUUAUUUUUAUUUUUUGAGGAAAUUUUUUAAGUCAAACAUGCAUUUAAUGAAAGUGUAAAAUCUGCGAAUAAUAAACAUUUUUUAAUCGAAACUUUUGACUAUUUUUUUUUGGAAAAAUAUUGAGUCAAAAUGUCAUUAAUUGAGCAUUUUGACUUCUUUUUUUGGAAAAAAUAUCGAGUAAAAUACUCACUCCGGUCUUAUAUAUAAGAAACAAUUCAUAUUUUAGAUUUAUUGAAUAAUUGAUGCAUAUGGAUUAGAAUAUAGACCGAAUACAUCAAUUAUUCAAUGAAUCUAAAAAGUCAAUUGUUUUUUUUUUUUAUAUAUAGGACCGAAGUAAAUAUGUCUUUUAUUGAAAGUGUAAAACUUUUGAAACGAAUUAGAUAUAUUAUUUUAGUUUAAUGACGGUGAGUUGAUAGUUCAAAACAUUUUUCACACAAAAUAUUUAAAAUUGUCACGUCAACUAAUUAAUGUUUAUAAUUUAUGUGUCAAUUCUGAAUACUUUGAUUAACUGUGUGUACAAAGUUGUUUUGGAUAGUCAUCAUCCCACUACGAUUAAACUUUUUUUUUUCUUUCUAAUUUGGUGAUUGAACACGAAUCAAAUUUAAACUCUUAACAUUUUUUUUUAAUAAAUUCAAAAUAAUUUAGGUACUUACUAUAGAUAUACAUAUUGUGUAUAUUCUAAAUUUAUGUAGCUGAAACAUCUCUUUUAAUAGCAAUAUUGAGUAUAAAUGCACAACUCAAUUGAAAGGUUAAGAGGAAGUUUUCACGACCCAAAAUUCACAAUUGUGAUCGGUGCACAAACUAAAACAUUCUAGUCCGAAAAAUCUAUUGACGAAACUUGACAAACUAUAUUUAAACAAUUUUUAAAUUGAUUUUCACUUAAAAUGAUAUCCACUGAAAUUUCGACAAAGUAUCAUUUGUAUUUUUGAAUAUUUUUCAAGAUUUUAAUUAUGUUUAUCAACUUGUAUUUUCAUUCAGAAUUUCAAAGACAUAUUUGCAUAGGUAUACAUCUCAAAAUAAAACACUCCUAGAUUCCAAAUAGAUGGAGAUACUUUGAAUCAACAUAUAUAUACAUAAACAAUAAAGACAUCCAUGAAGGAAGCCUACCAAAAAGAGUGGCAUCGCCAAACUUCAAAUAUACUAGUAGCUUUCUACUUAGCUGCUUGGGAAUCUAAAAAAAUAUACAAAAUAAAAGAUUAAGUCACAAGGACAUAGUGAGAGACAACAACCACCAUCAACUAAAAGGGAAACGCACAAGGGCACCGAUAAUUACUUUUCUCAAAUCUAAUGUUCAUUUACAAAACUAAUAACCGUACAAAAUUCUAGUAAUCCACAACUGUUUAUAAACAUGGAAAUUCACACAUUUUAAAUAUUUCCAAUCAAAUAAGCAUACUUCAACGAAAAUCCAAUAUCGUAAUGAGGUGAAAAUAAAAUCAAAUCCCAUAAUAUAUUACAAGCCUUUAAAAAUAUACUGUCGAAAAUCAUAAUAAAAAUCUUUAAAAACAUAUUGCCGAAAAUCUAAAUAAAAGUCUUUAUAGAAAAUAUAGAAAAGUCCACUUAGUGAAAAUAACCAAAAUGGGUGAAUCGUGAACUUGCUCCAUCUCGUUGAUAGUUCUUUCCUACUAUGAAUGGCCUUUCUCAUAGUGGUAGCUCCAUCUAACAGAUAACUCUUUUCUCUCUACUCAAAACAAAUUGUAAAACAUUUUCAAUUAGAGAGUUUACAUCUGUUUGAUAGCUCUCUCCACCUAAUGGCGGCCUUUCCAUAGGGGCGGCUCCAUCUAUCGGAAUAACUCUACCUAACCGAAAUCAAAUACUAGAUGUGCCUAGGUCGUCGCAUUUAUAAUGGUGAUUCUCAAAACGUCCCAUAAAAAUUUAUUCAUUGAAGCAUUGGACGAAUCCGUCACGACCAUAAAAAUUGGACAAACCACCACUAAAAUACCCAUUCAGGUCACCGCCACAAAAAAAACUGUUUUCGCCAUAUAUUUUGACAUCUUGGUUAUGCCAAUCAUAUGUCAUUUAUGUGCUUCAUUAUGUAUGUCAUGGAUUAGUUUUCAAUCUGACAGGUGUUGUUGUACUUUGCUAUGCUGACUUUCAUAAAUUAGGCUCUAAAACUGUUUUCGCCACCUCAGCCACCGCCAAUCACAUCUAUCCAUCCACUAGACCACCACCAAGGCUUCCGUUAUUGGCCUUAAACUUUUGGGCCAUAAAUUGUUUCCAAAACAUCAUUGCAUCCCUCUUUGUUCAUCUUGACAAUCUGACAUACCAAUAAGUUCAUAGAUCACGGCUUGCAUCCUCCUUGUCUUUUGUACUAAAUCCCUUCAUGAAUGAGCAUAGCUGCAUUGUGGACACUAACUUGAAAGAACAUAAGUGCCCAUCUGAAACUCUAUUCAGCAACGAUUGUGUAGUACUGCAUGCGCUUGUGCUUAGACCGUUACUUGCCCAAUAUCAGACAUCCCGACCAAACACUGUAUAACUGGUCGUGAUUCAUGCUGGAAAACCUAUCAUUGGAAUUGGAUAAAGUUGGGUUGUAUCUAUGAUUGGAUGGUCUUUUGUAUUGAGAAAAAACUAGGGAUGUACCCUUAAUUAUUCAAAACAUAGGAACAAGAGUAAAUAUAGCUGGAAUAUCGCACGAGUUGGAUAAAGUUUAUGCAAACAGUUUUUUAACCGCUGCGGAGCAAAAUUGACCGGGAGGAGGGAUUUGCGAUGAUAAUACACUCACAUACCAUCCAGCAAAACAGACAGUAAACAUCACAACACCUAAUAUCAAUAUAAAAAAGAGGACAUUCUUCUCUAUUAAAAGGAAAAAUCGACUUAUUCUUUCAUUAAUAAUAUCAAUAUUCAAAGGCUACAAUUUACAAAUUCAUUAAUGACUAACUAUCAUUAAUGAAUAGCUAUCGUAUAGAUUGAGCUAUAAAUUCUUCUUAAAUAUAUGUAACGAUCCAAAAAAAUGUCC